rfam:Loxodonta africana unplaced genomic scaffold scaffold_44, whole genome shotgun sequence.
CCAAAGGCUCUUUUCAGAGCCACCCAGAGAUCUCAGAAAAGAGCUGU